rnacentral:rRNA from 1 species
GAUCGACCUCGGAUCAGGUAGGAAUACCCGCUGAACUUAAGCAUAUCAAUAAGCGGAGGAAAAGAAACCAACAGGGAUUGCCUCAGUAACGGCGAGUGAAGCGGCAGCAGCUCAAAUUUGAAAUCUGGCCUCCUCGGGGUCCGAGUUGUAAUUUGCAGAGGGUGUUUCGGGCGAGGUGUCGGCCUAAGUCCCUUGGAACAGGGUGUCCUAGAGGGUGAGAGUCCCGUCUGCGGCCGGCAACCGACCCCAUGUGAAACCCCUUCGACGAGUCGGGUUGUUUGGGAAUGCAGCUCUAAACGGGUGGUAAAUUUCAUCUAAAGCUAAAUACCGGCCAGAGACCGAUAGCGCACAAGUAGAGUGAUCGAAAGAUGAAAAGCACUUUGGAAAGAGAGUUAAACAGUACGUGAAAUUGUUGAAAGGGAAGCGCUUGCAACCAGACCUGCCUUCGGGUGAUCAGCCGUCGUUCUCGGCGGUGUACUCGCUCGGUGCAGGCCAGCAUCGAUUCGGGCGGUCGGAUAAAGGCCGCGGGAACGUGGCUC